rnacentral:rRNA from 1 species
GGUUAAGCGACUAAGCGUACACGGUGGAUGCCCUGGCAGUCAGAGGCGAUGAAGGACGUGCUAAUCUGCGAUAAGCGCCGGUAAGGUGAUAUGAACCGUUAUAACCGGCGAUUUCCGAAUGGGGAAACCCAGUGUGAUUCGUCACACUAUCAUUAACUGAAUCCAUAGGUUAAUGAGGCGAACCGGGGGAACUGAAACAUCUAAGUACCCCGAGGAAAAGAAAUCAACCGAGAUUCCCCCAGUAGCGGCGAGCGAACGGGGAGGAGCCCAGAGCCUGAAUCAGCAUGUGUGUUAGUGGAAGCGUCUGGAAAGGCGCGCGAUACAGGGUGACAGCCCCGUACACAAAAGCGCAUGUGCUGUGAGCUCGAUGAGUAGGGCGGGACACGUGGUAUCCUGUCUGAAUAUGGGGGGACCAUCCUCCAAGGCUAAAUACUCCUGACUGACCGAUAGUGAACCAGUACCGUGAGGGAAAGGCGAAAAGAACCCCGGCGAGGGGAGUGAAAAAGAACCUGAAACCGUGUACGUACAAGCAGUGGGAGCACAGGUUUACCUGUGUGACUGCGUACCUUUUGUAUAAUGGGUCAGCGACUUAUAUUCUGUAGCAAGGUUAACCGUAUAGGGGAGCCGGAGGGAAACCGAGUCUUAACCGGGCGUUAAGUUGCAGGGUAUAGACCCGAAACCCGGUGAUCUAGCCAUGGGCAGGUUGAAGGUUGGGUAACACUAACUGGAGGACCGAACCGACUAAUGUUGAAAAAUUAGCGGAUGACCUGUGGCUGGGGGUGAAAGGCCAAUCAAACCGGGAGAUAGCUGGUUCUCCCCGAAAGCUAUUUAGGUAGCGCCUCGUGAAUUCAUCUCCGGGGGUAGAGCACUGUUUCGGCUAGGGGGCCAUCCCGGCUUACCAACCCGAUGCAAACUGCGAAUACCGGAGAAUGUUAUCACGGGAGACACACGGCGGGUGCUAACGUCCGUCGUGAAGAGGGAAACAACCCAGACCGCCAGCUAAGGUCCCAAAGUCAUGGUUAAGUGGGAAACGAUGUGGGAAGGCCCAGACAGCCAGGAUGUUGGCUUAGAAGCAGCCAUCAUUUAAAGAAAGCGUAAUAGCUCACUGGUCGAGUCGGCCUGCGCGGAAGAUGUAACGGGGCUAAACCAUGCACCGAAGCUGCGGCAGCGACACUGUGUGUUGUUGGGUAGGGGAGCGUUCUGUAAGCCUGUGAAGGUGUGUCGUGAGGCAUGCUGGAGGUAUCAGAAGUGCGAAUGCUGACAUAAGUAACGAUAAAGCGGGUGAAAAGCCCGCUCGCCGGAAGACCAAGGGUUCCUGUCCAACGUUAAUCGGGGCAGGGUGAGUCGACCCCUAAGGCGAGGCCGAAAGGCGUAGUCGAUGGGAAACGGGUUAAUAUUCCCGUACUUGGUGUUACUGCGAAGGGGGGACGGAGAAGGCUAUGUUGGCCGGGCGACGGUUGUCCCGGUUUAAGCGUGUAGGUGUGUGUUCCAGGUAAAUCCGGUUCACUUUAACACUGAGGCGUGACGACGAGGCACUACGGUGCUGAAGCAACAAAUGCCCUGCUUCCAGGAAAAGCCUCUAAGCAUCAGGUAACAUCAAAUCGUACCCCAAACCGACACAGGUGGUCAGGUAGAGAAUACCAAGGCGCUUGAGAGAACUCGGGUGAAGGAACUAGGCAAAAUGGUGCCGUAACUUCGGGAGAAGGCACGCUGACACGUAGGUGAAGUGAUUUACUCAUGGAGCUGAAGUCAGUCGAAGAUACCAGCUGGCUGCAACUGUUUAUUAAAAACACAGCACUGUGCAAACACGAAAGUGGACGUAUACGGUGUGACGCCUGCCCGGUGCCGGAAGGUUAAUUGAUGGGGUCAGCGCAAGCGAAGCUCCUGAUCGAAGCCCCGGUAAACGGCGGCCGUAACUAUAACGGUCCUAAGGUAGCGAAAUUCCUUGUCGGGUAAGUUCCGACCUGCACGAAUGGCGUAAUGAUGGCCAGGCUGUCUCCACCCGAGACUCAGUGAAAUUGAACUCGCUGUGAAGAUGCAGUGUACCCGCGGCAAGACGGAAAGACCCCGUGAACCUUUACUAUAGCUUGACACUGAACAUUGAGCCUUGAUGUGUAGGAUAGGUGGGAGGCUUUGAAGCGUGGACGCCAGUCUGCGUGGAGCCAACCUUGAAAUACCACCCUUUAAUGUUUGAUGUUCUAACGUGGACCCGUGAUCCGGGUUGCGGACAGUGUCUGGUGGGUAGUUUGACUGGGGCGGUCUCCUCCUAAAGAGUAACGGAGGAGCACGAAGGUUGGCUAAUCCUGGUCGGACAUCAGGAGGUUAGUGCAAUGGCAUAAGCCAGCUUGACUGCGAGCGUGACGGCGCGAGCAGGUGCGAAAGCAGGUCAUAGUGAUCCGGUGGUUCUGAAUGGAAGGGCCAUCGCUCAACGGAUAAAAGGUACUCCGGGGAUAACAGGCUGAUACCGCCCAAGAGUUCAUAUCGACGGCGGUGUUUGGCACCUCGAUGUCGGCUCAUCACAUCCUGGGGCUGAAGUAGGUCCCAAGGGUAUGGCUGUUCGCCAUUUAAAGUGGUACGCGAGCUGGGUUUAGAACGUCGUGAGACAGUUCGGUCCCUAUCUGCCGUGGGCGCUGGAGAACUGAGGGGGGCUGCUCCUAGUACGAGAGGACCGGAGUGGACGCAUCACUGGUGUUCGGGUUGUCAUGCCAAUGGCACUGCCCGGUAGCUAAAUGCGGAAGAGAUAAGUGCUGAAAGCAUCUAAGCACGAAACUUGCCCCGAGAUGAGUUCUCCCUGAGACUUAGAGUCUCCUGAAGGAACGUUGAAGACGACGACGUUGAUAGGCCGGGUGUGUAAGCGCAGCGAUGCGUUGAGCUAACCGGUACUAAUGAACCGUGAGGCUUAACCUU